GUCGAUCAUACUUCAUAGAAUCAUUUCUAAUAGUAUGCAUCCUCUUCUGAGUUACUCUAAGUAGCCACAGAAUCUCCAUCCUGGUUGAUGACUAUCAGCCUCGGUGUCCUAGAGUGAGGCCUUAUUUACGAUUGCUUCGGCGAUCGUGGCGAUGACCUUGUGCUAACCAGCUGUGUACUUCGGUCGCACUGGAAGGCAGGACGUUGACGGCAAUCUGACAGGC
rfam:Alternaria alternata strain SRC1lrK2f unplaced genomic scaffold CC77scaffold_7, whole genome shotgun sequence.